UACCCAGAAUUAUCUCCUUCAAUUAAUUGCACAAAAUUUCUCUCACAUUAUCUUCAUUAUAGAAGUUACUCACUCACUAUCUUCGUUUCUUCAGGUGCUAACAACCUUGGUAUUCCAAAGGCAACUAGAGCCCCAUAAGAUAUGCUUACAACAACAAAUUGAGCGCAAGGUAUUCGAGAUUGACUAUGCAAAGGCUUUUAAGUCAACUUUGAUAUCGGUAACUUCAUACGUACGGGGACUCUUCAUGAUUGACAAAGCUCCAUGAUAUUACUGCCAGGGAUUGGACUAGAACAACAGUCACAUGUGUUGCACUAAUAAAAAGCUUGGUGGCUUCUUCGGAAGGAGGAGUUCAAUUCAGUCCCUGCUCUGAGGAAGGCAAUUAUAUUAGAUUACGGUCCUAUUCUGUCUGUAGCUUACUGGUGUACAAUUAUUACUAAUCGUUUUGCUCUUGCUGAUCAUUUUUGCUCUGAAAAUAGCCAAAUUUUCUAAUUUUCUAUGCCCUUUUUUUGUA